UACGUAGGGGGCAAGCGUUGUCCGGAUUUAUUGGGCGUAAAGAGCGCGUAGGCGGCUAGGUAGGUCCGUUGUGAAAACUCGAGGCUCAACCUCGAGACGCCGAUGGAAACCAUCUGGCUAGAGUCCGGAAGAGGAGAGUGGAAUUCCUGGUGUAGCGGUGAAAUGCGCAGAUAUCAGGAAGAACACCCGUGGCUAAGGCGGCUCUCUAGUACGGUACUGACGCUGAGACGCGAAAGCGUGGGGAGCGAACAGG
rnacentral:rRNA from 1 species